rnacentral:rRNA from 1 species
GCCUCACCGCGAGUACUGGUCCGGCUGGACCUUUCCUUCUGGGGAACCUCAUGGCCUUCACUGGCUGUGGGGGGAACCAGGACUUUUACUGUGAAAAAAUUAGAGUGUUCAAAGCAGGCCUUUGCUCGAAUACAUUAGCAUGGAAUAAUAGAAUAGGACGUGUGGUUCUAUUUUGUUGGUUUCUAGGACCGCCGUAAUGAUUAAUAGGGAUAGUCGGGGGCGUCAGUAUUCAGCUGUCAGAGGUGAAAUUCUUGGAUUUGCUGAAGACUAACUACUGCGAAAGCAUUCGCCAAGGAUGUUUUCAUUAAUCAGGGAACGAAAGUUAGGGGAUCGAAGACGAUCAGAUACCGUCGUAGUCUUAACCAUAAACUAUGCCGACUAGGGAUCGGACGGGAUUCUAUAAUGACCCGUUCGGCACCUUACGAGAAAUCAAAGUUUUUGGGUUCUGGGGGGAGUAUGGUCGCAAGGCUGAAACUUAAAGAAAUUGACGG